CAUCGCUUCAGGGCGGGGCGCAAUUCCCCACCGGUGGUAAGUUCAGCAUAAAAUCAUUAUGACUGAAUCAGCCCACGAGCCAAUUGCGCUUUGCAAUUUGCAGAUUUGGUGAGAAACCAAAGCCGACGGUAUAGUCCGGAUGAAAGAAGACGACG
rnacentral:ncRNA from 2 species